rnacentral:rRNA from 1 species
GAUGAACGCUAGCGGCAGGCUUAAUACAUGCAAGUCGAACGGGAUUCGGGGUAGCAAUACUUUGAUGAGAGUGGCGCACGGGUGCGUAACGCGUAUGCAACCUACCUUUAACAGGGGAAUAGCCCCGAGAAAUCGGGAUUAAUACUCCGUAACAUUGCGGUGUGGCAUCACACUGCACUUAAAGCUGAGGCGGUUAAAGAUGGGCAUGCGUGACAUUAGCUAGUUGGUGAGGUAACGGCUCACCAAGGCAACGAUGUCUAGGGGUCCUGAGAGGGUUAUCCCCCACACUGGUACUGAGACACGGACCAGACUCCUACGGGAGGCAGCAGUAAGGAAUAUUGGUCAAUGGGCGCAAGCCUGAACCAGCCAUGCCGCGUGCAGGAAGACGGCCCUAUGGGUUGUAAACUGCUUUUGUCAGGGAAUAAACCCCGCCUCGUGAGCGGGGCUGAAGGUACCUGAAGAAUAAGCAUCGGCUAACUCCGUGCCAGCAGC